UAGGGAAUCUUCGGCAAUGGACGAAAGUCUGACCGAGCAACGCCGCGUGAGUGAAGAAGGUUUUCGGAUCGUAAAACUCUGUUGUUAGAGAAGAACAAGGACGUUAGUAACUGAACGUCCCCUGACGGUAUCUAACCAGAAAGCCACGGCUAACUACGUGCCAGCAGCCGCGGUAAUACGUAGGUGGCAAGCGUUGUCCGGAUUUAUUGGGCGUAAAGCGAGCGCAGGCGGUUUCUUAAGUCUGAUGUGAAAGCCCCCGGCUCAACCGGGGAGGGUCAUUUGAAACUGGGAGGCUUGAGUGCAGAAGAGGGGAGUGGAAUUCCAUGUGUAGCGGUGAAAUGCGUAGAUAUAUGGAGGAACACCAGUGGCGAAGGCGGCUCUCUGGUCUGUAACUGACGCUGAGGCUCGAAAGCGUGGGGAGCAAACAGG
rnacentral:rRNA from 1 species